UGCUCGUGGAUUAGUGGCGAACGGGUGAGUAACACGUGAGUAACCUGCCCUUAACUCUGGGAUAAGCCUGGGAAACUGGGUCUAAUACCGGAUAUGACUCCUCAUCGCAUGGUGGGGGGUGGAAAGCUUUAUUGUGGUUUUGGAUGGACUCGCGGCCUAUCAGCUUGUUGGUGAGGUAAUGGCUCACCAAGGCGACGACGGGUAGCCGGCCUGAGAGGGUGACCGGCCACACUGGGACUGAGACACGGCCCAAACUCCUACGGGAGGCAGCAGUGGGGAAUAUUGCACAAUGGGCGAAAGCCUGAUGCAGCGACGCCGCGUGAGGGAUGACGGCCUUCGGGUUGUAAACCUCUUUCAGUAGGGAAGAAGCGAAAGUGACGGUACCUGCAGAAGAAGCGCCGGCUAACUACGUGCCAGCAGCCGCGGUAAUACGUAGGGCGCAAGCGUUAUCCGGAAUUAUUGGGCGUAAAGAGCUCGUAGGCGGUUUGUCGCGUCUGCCGUGAAAGUCCGGGGCUCAACUCCGGAUCUGCGGUGGGUACGGGCAGACUAGAGUGAUGUAGGGGAGACUGGAAUUCCUGGUGUAGCGGUGAAAUGCGCAGAUAUCAGGAGGAACACCGAUGGCGAAGGCAGGUCUCUGGGCAUUAACUGACGCUGAGGAGCGAAAGCAUGGGGAGCGAACAGGAUUAGAUACCCUGGUAGUCCAUGCCGUAAACGUUGGGCACUAGGUGUGGGGGACAUUCCACGUUUUCCGCGCCGUAGCUAACGCAUUAAGUGCCCCGCCUGGGGAGUACGGCCGCAAGGCUAAAACUCAAAGGAAUUGACGGGGGCCCGCACAAGCGGCGGAGCAUGCGGAUUAAUUCGAUGCAACGCGAAGAACCUUACCAAGGCUUGACAUGAACCGGAAAUACCUGGAAACAGGUGCCCCGCUUGCGGUCGGUUUACAGGUGGUGCAUGGUUGUCGUCAGCUCGUGUCGUGAGAUGUUGGGUUAAGUCCCGCAACGAGCGCAACCCUCGUUCUAUGUUGCCAGCGCGUUAUGGCGGGGACUCAUAGGAGACUGCCGGGGUCAACUCGGAGGAAGGUGGGGACGACGUCAAAUCAUCAUGCCCCUUAUGUCUUGGGCUUCACGCAUGCUACAAUGGCCGGUACAAAGGGUUGCGAUACUGUGAGGUGGAGCUAAUCCCAAAAAGCCGGUCUCAGUUCGGAUUGGGGUCUGCAACUCGACCCCAUGAAGUCGGAGUCGCUAGUAAUCGCAGAUCAGCAACGCUGCGGUGAAUACGUUCCCGGGCCUUGUACACACCGCCCGUCAAGUCACGAAAGUUGGUAACACCCGAAGCCGGU
rnacentral:rRNA from 1 species